rnacentral:rRNA from 1 species
UACGUAGGGGCGUAGCGUUGUCCGGAAUCAUUGGGCGUAAAGCGCGUGUAGGCGGUCCGGUAAGUCCGCUGUGAAAGUCGGGGGCUCAACCCUCGGAUGCCGGUGGAUACUGUCGGGCUUGAGUACGGAAGAGGCGAGUGGAAUUCCUGGUGUAGCGGUGAAAUGCGCAGAUAUCAGGAGGAACACCAAUUGCGAAGGCAGCUCGCUGGGACGUUACUGACGCUGAGACGCGAAAGCGUGGGGAGCAAACAGG